CUCUUGACCUUGUGAUCCGCCCAUCUUGGCCUCCCAAAGUGCUGGGAUUACAGGAGUGAGCCACCGCACCCAGCUCUUCUUUGAGUUUUUAAGGCCACAUAAGCUGUGGAUGUUAUAGAAUUUCUUAUUUCCCUGGGCAGCAACUGGGCCUCUAUUGAGACCCAAAUGCCCUCUUCAGAGGGAACUACGAGGUCAACAAGCACAAUCCCCACAUGUGCAGUGAAGUCUCCAUACGUCCACUCUGGAGGAGGAGAUGACAAGGCAGGGAGGCUGUCAUUUCCUACUUGGGCGGACCCUUCUAGGGGCGGUCUGCUCUGGCCCCUCCGCAAUUCCAGUCAGCAGCCUAGCAUGUCACUCUGGGAGGACCGCAGGAACUAGCAAAUCCAAUAUUCUGCUUACAAAUGGAGAGACGGAGGCCCCAAGAAGAAAGCUAAGAGGUACCAUCAUCAAAGGUAAGGUGAUGGGAAGCUGCCCCAUGCCUCGGUGUUCCACUAUGAGACAGAAGACACAGUGGUUAUAACUGCCACUUACCACUGAUUGUUAAACUCAACUUCAUUUCUUUUUAUUUUUUGCCUUUGCCAUGAUAGAUUUUAUAUCUUAUCACCACAACUGUGUGGUGAUGUGGUUUGGAUGUGUGUCCCCUCCAAAUCUCAUGUUGAAAUGUGGUCCCCAGUGUUGGAGGUGGGGCCUGAUGGGAGGUGUUGGAUCAUGGCAGUGGAUUCCUCAUGCAUGGCUUGGCACUCUCUCCUUGGUGAUGAGUUCCUGCUCUGAGAUGACAACUCAGAUAACUCCAUGCUGUGGUGCUAGCACCUGAGAGACCCAUGACCGAGAGAUCUGCCCCCACAUAUAAAUCCAGAGGGAUGGGGCUGGCCUGCUGCUUCUCUUCAAGAACCAGUAGAGGCUGACGCUGCAGAGAGGGCAGCACCCCAGGGUCAAGGAAAUCACCAACAGAGGGGACCAGCAGGGGUCACCUAAGACCCCAGAACAAGAGAAACCUUUCUUAAUUUGCCACAUCCAGUGAGUUCAAUAGAAGCCUCCUGUUUCAGCCAGGGGUCCCCAGGGAAGCAGAGUAACAGGACAUGCGUGGAUAUGGAAGUGGACAUAAGCACGGGAAUGGAUGAAUAUGGAUAUGGAUAUUGAUAUAGAGAGAGGUCUGCCUCCACCCCAAGAGGACCUCGUGGACGUGGUGCCUCAGGCUCCACCAUCCCCAGGAGAAGAGUGGUGCCAUUCCCCUCCCGUGACUGACUCCUGCGUGCAGUCCCUAAUCUGCCCAUCACCGCCGGGGCACUGUCCACAGCAUUCUGUUGAUUUCCUCCACACUGUCUAACACAACCUGAAACAACCUCAUCUGCCCACCACGUCUCAUCUGUGCCUCCCUGCCUGGAACGGAGCUGCAGGAAGGCAGCGAUGUUUGUCUGGAGGUUCCCUGUUCGCUGGUGCGGGUCUAUGAGGAGGAAACACACAGAAACCAAAAGAUGGAAUCAGGCUGUCUCGGGCCACUUCCUUCCGCCACAGCUCUGCCUGGAGUGCCAGCCCCAGCACAGGUGAAUACACAGAACCAGCGCCUCCCUCCUGGAGCUUUCCUGGGGAGACCAGUGAGGGUGAACAAGGAAGCGGAUAGAGAACUCCCCGCAGCGUAAGUGCAGUGGGGACAUUUGUGGCAGGGAGUGCCUGGGGAGGGUGGUCGGGGAAGGCUGCCCCAAGGAGUUAUCAUCUGAGCAAGACCCAAAAUUGUAAGAAGUAGCACGCGGCGCUCCCAGGGAAGAGCAUGCCAGGCUGGAGGCCCUGCGGAGGGGACAAGUUCAGCAGCUUGGAGGACCAGAGAGAAAUCCAGCUCCUGCCUCCUAACUCACACAGCCCUGGUUAUAGCCUUUUGUUAUCACGUUGGGGCAGUUUAGGCCUCAGGAAGCUGAAUCUCAAGACCCUAAUCUGACUGUGGGUCAGAAGAUCCUCAUUCCAGGGUGGGUUCUGCCUCAUCCCCUAGAGGAAGAAAUGCUGCCGAGAAGCUGAGAAGAGUCUGGGCCAGGCGUGGUGGCUCAUGCCUGUAAUCCCAAGACUGGGAGCCCAAGGCGGGCAGAUCACCU
rnacentral:lncRNA from 1 species